rnacentral:rRNA from 1 species
GCUUGGUAUUGGGCAUCACUAUUCGGGUGUGCUCCAAAUUAGUGGCGGNNCAUUUGNNCCAGCGUAGUAAACUCCUCGCUGUGGGAUUCAUAAUGUGCCCUCUGCCAACAACUAAAUUCUCAAGUUUGACCUCGGAUCAGGUAGGGAUACCCGCUGAACUUAAGCAUAUCAAUAAGCGGAGGAAAAGAAACCAACAGGGAUUGCCUCAGUAACGGCGAGUGAAGCGGCAGCAGCUCAAAUUUGAAAUCUGGCCUAUGGUCCGAAUUGUAAUUUGUAGAGGAUGCUUCGAACGAAGUCUAGUCUAAGUUUCUUGGAAUAGGACGUCAUAGAGGGUGAGAACCCCGUAUGCGACUAGGCCCUUCAGUUCGUAUGAAGCUCCUUCAACGAGCCGAGUUGUUUGGGAAUGCAGCUCUAAAUGGGUGGUAAAUUUCAUCUAAAGCUAAAUACUGGCCAGAGACCGAUAGCGCACAAGUAGAGUGAUCGAAAGAUGAAAAGCACUUUGGAAAGAGAGUUAAACAGUACGUGAAAUUGUUGAAAGGGAAGCGCUUGCAACCAGACUUGUAUCUAGUUGAUCAUCCGACGUUCUCACCGGUGUACUCAACUAAAUUCAGGCUAGCAUCGGUUUUGGUGGCUAGAUAAAGACCUUAGGAAUGUAGCUCCUCUCGGGGAGUGUUAUAGCCUGAAGUGUAAUAUAGCCUACCAGGACCGAGGACCGCGCUUCGGCUAGGAUGCUAGCAUAAUGGUUGUAAGCGACC